UACGGACUUAGUUAAUUUGAGCUUUAGUAAAAAAAUUUACUAACUGUUAGCUUUCAGAUUCAGGGAAACUUAAGUUGAAAAAAAUAUAAGCAAUCCUGAGCCAAAUUUUUACACUUUCAAAAAAAAAUAGGUGCAGAGACUCGACGGAAGCUAUCCUAACGUGAAAAAUUUUUCUUUUAAUUCAUUAAAAAAAAAAUUCUAAAAUAAAGAAAUUUAACUAAAGUAUUAUUUGUUUAAAUAAUAAACAAGGAUAAAGAUAGAGUCCAAAUUUAUAUGUUAAUUUUAACAGCAAUUUAAAUUGUAGUAAAAAGAAAAUCCGUUGGCUUUAUUAAACCGUGAGGGUUCAAGUCCCUCUACCCCCAAAACUGUAAUUGCUUAUUAAUAUAGUCUAUAAUAUUUAUGUCAUAGCCCUCAAACGAAAAAGCCGGAAUAGCUCAGUUGGUAGAGCAGAGGACUGAAAAUCCUNGNGUCAC
rnacentral:ncRNA from 1 species